UCGUGUUAUCGUCUCAGGCAAUGAUGAGAAAGGCACGUCUACUUGUGUCAUUUCAUAUUUCUUCUGCGUUAUGAAGCACUGCAGGUCGUGCUGUUUACUGAAAAGUAUAUUAACAGACUAAACAAAUUUACGGCAAGAGGAGAAUGGCUUCCGGCAAGUGCCACCAGAUACAUCGCUUUCUGCGGGCCUGGCGCGUACUGAAAAAAAAAGGCGCCAAAACUCAAGUGACCUGCAAGGAAGUGGCAUCUCACCACCGAGAACACGCAGGACGCAGCGUACCACCUUCGAGGAUCGGAUACAUUUGGUAACUAUAGGGUAAAUCUAUCUGAGUGGUAUGAAUGCCUUGCUGCCGACAUAGCUUCCAUUCCUCUCUAGUUAACUUUGUUGUGGUCGCAUCACAGUAUCAAUUAACUAGUGGAAACAGAAAACGGAACGGUUAUAAAAGCAAAUCACUUACCACUGAUGUAAUACAAUAAACCUUUCGUCAUUGCAUUUCA